rnacentral:rRNA from 1 species
AUUGAACGCUGGCGGCAUGCCUUACACAUGCGAGUCGAACGGUAACAGGUCUUCGGAUGCUGACGAGUGGCGAACGGGUGAGUAAUACAUCGGAACGUGCCCGAUCGUGGGGGAUAACGGAGCGAAAGCUUUGCUAAUACCGCAUACGAUCUACGGAUGAAAGCAGGGGACCGCAAGGCCUUGCGCGGACGGAGCGGCCGAUGGCAGAUUAGGUAGUUGGUGGGAUAAAAGCUUACCAAGCCGACGAUCUGUAGCUGGUCUGAGAGGACGACCGGCCACACUGGGACUGAGACACGGCCCAGACUCCGACGGGAGGCAGCAGUGGGGAAUUUUGGACAAUGGGCGAAAGCCUGAUCCAGCCAUGCCGCGUGCAGGAUGAAGGCCUUCGGGUUGUAAACUGCUUUUGUACGGAACGAAAAGACUCUUUCUAAUAAAGAGGGUCCAUGACGGUACCGUAAGAAUAAGCACCGGCUAACUACGU